rnacentral:lncRNA from 1 species
GUUGACAGACUGGAGCGCAGCGGAGACCUCGGCAUCUGCGGUGCUCGGGAUUGUGUCCCCUACGGUCUCUUACCGUGCCUCCCGAUGGCGGGAGCUGGAAUUUGGUCCCCAGACCCCUUGGGAAGACGCGCACACCCUGGCAAACCAUGUGUACACCCGCGGUAGAAGCAGGUGCGUGUUUUACAGUAGCUUAGCUGCGGAGUCCACCCAGCCCCUGGCAUCCGCAGCUCGGCUCGCUCAGGCUCUAGACCGAAGCUGCAGGCGAAGGAACGUGCUUGGGUCUUGCUCUGUGGCCCAGCAGUGCGAUCCUAGCUCACUGCAGACUCGACCUCCCGGGCUGAAGCGAUCUUCUCACCUCAGCCUCCCGAGUAGCUGGGACCACAGGCGCACACCCAAUGCUUGGCUAAUUUUUAAAUUUUAAAACAGAGACAGGGUCUUGCUAUGUUGCCCAGGCUGGUCUGGAACUCCUGGCCUCAAGCAAUUCUCCUGCCUCGGCCUCCCAAAGUGCUGUGAUUACAGGCAUGCGCCACGGUUCCCAGCCAUUUCUACUUUUUCUUUGAGAAGGAGUUUUACUCUUGUUGCCCAGGCUGGAGUGCAAUGGCGCUAUCUCGGCUUGCCCAGGCUGGAGUGCAAUGGCGCUAUCUAGGCUCACCGCAACCUUCGCCUCCCAGGUUCAAGCGAUUCUCCUGCCUCAGCCUCCCAAGUAGCUGGGAUUACAGGCAUGAGCCACCAUGCCCGUCUAAUUUUGUAUUUUUAGUAGAGACGGGGUUUCUCCAUAUUAAGUCAGGCUGGUCUCGAACUCCCGACCUCAGGUGAUCCUCCCGCCUCAGCCUCCCAAAGUGCUGGGAUUACAGGCGUGAGCCACGGCGCCCGGCCCUGCCAUUUCUACUUAUUUACGUUGUUCCAAAUUAUCAAAGAUAGCAUCAACUUUCAAAUCCUAAUUUUUUUUUUCCUGGGAAACCUUCCUCCUUUAGCCUUCAGUCUCCUCUCUAAACUGGGUUGGGCCUCAGUUCUUCUCAUACCGGGUCUCCCCUUCCUGCUGUCCUGGGUUGUAUCUUCCGCUUCCUAGAUUUAAGGUCUUUAUUUUUCAGCCAAGAUGGGUCAUCCUCAUGGCUGGUGGCAUUGGACUGUAAAUACUAGUUGCCUUCAUCCCCACAUUUGGAAUAUACCUGCAAUCAUACAGGAUGCAGAAUACUGUUUGCUAAGCGUGGGGCUGGUUGCUGGAGAUAACAAGCAAGGCCUACCAGGUCCCUGCUGUCAUUCUGGCUCUGGAUCUACUUGCUUGGCUCCCCUGCCAGCCCUAGUAUAUCGAGCCUUCCUUUUUAUUCAAUAGUGUUUUUUAUUGCUGACUUUUCAGUCAAGAUUUCUUUGUGUUUUCUGGCCUACCCUUGCUGUUUUUCACCUGAAAUGCUUUUUGGCUUUUAGUGUGACUCCUGCUGAUCUCAUAUGCAUAUGUUAUUAAUUGAUUAAUUAUUAAUUGUUAAUAAUUAAAUAUUAUUAAUAUGCUUACAUUAUUACCUUGAGUUCUGGAACUGCCUCACUGCACUCCAUGUGGUGAAUACUGUAGAAAUUAUAUAAGGAAAAAUAUAUCCUUAGAAAUGAGUAUUUUUUAAAUUUUGAAAAUAUUUAAUUUAGGCCCAGCCCAGUUGCUCACACCUGUAAUCUCAGCACUUUGGGAGGCUGAGGUGGGCAGAUUGCUUUAGGCCAGAAGUUAGAAACCAGCAUGGGCAACAUGCUGAAACUCCAUCUCUACUAAAAAUACAAAAAUUGGCCAGGUCUGGUGGUGCACACCUGUAGUCCCAGCUACUCAGGAGGCUGAGGCACAAGAAUUCCUUGAACCCAGGAAGCAGAGGUUGCAGUGAGCAAGAUCAUGCCACUGCACUUCAACCUGCGUGACAGAGUGAGACCCCGUCUCAAAAAGAAAAAAAAAUUGGGCUGGGCACAGUGGCUUGUGCCUGUAAUCCCAACACUUUGGGAGGCCAAGGCGGGAGGAUCACCUGAGGUCAGGAGUUCGAGACCAGCCUGGCCAACAUGGCAAAACCCCGUCUGUACUAAAAAUACAAAAAUUAGCUGGGUGUGGAGUCGGACGCCUGUAGUCCCAGCUACUCAGGAGGCUGAGGCACAAGAAUGGCUUGAACUCAGGAGGCAGAGGUUGCAGUGAGCCAAGAUCACACCAUUGCACUCCAGCCUGUGUGACAGAGCAAGACUCCAUCUAAAAAAAAAAAAAACAAACAAAACAAAAAAUAUAUUGAUACACAAAAUUUUUACAUAUUUAUGGAGUUCAUGUGAUAUUUUGCUUUUCUUCAUACAUAGAAUGUACAAUAAUCAAGUCAGGAUAUUUAAGGUAUCAAUCACUUUGAGUAUUUAACAUUUCUAUGUGUUGGGAAAAUUUCAAGUCCUCUCUUCUAGCUAUGGAAAUUUACAGUACUUUGUUAACUACAGUCACCCUACUCUGCUAUUGAACAUUACAAGUUAUCCCUUCUUCCUAAGUGUAUGUUUGUACCCAUUACCCAACUUCUCUUCAUCCACCUCUCCCACCCACGUACACCCUUCCAAUCUCUGGUAUCAUUCUACUCUCUACCUCCAUGAGAUCAACUUUUCUAGCUCCCACAUGUAAGUGAGGACAUGUGAUAUUUGCCUUUCUGUGUCUGGCUUAUUCACUUAACAUAAUGACCUCCAGUUCCAUCCAUGCUGUAAACAUGAUUUCAUUUUUUAUGGCUUAAGUCCACUGUGUAUAUAUAUCAUAUUUUCUUUAUUCAUUUGUCCCCUGAUCAACACUUAGGUUGAUUCCAUAUCUUUGCUAUUGUAAACACGGCUCUACAGUAAACACGGAGAUGCAGGUUAUCUUUUUUAUAUACUGAUUUCUUUUCCUUUGGAUAAAUUCCAGGUAGUGGGAUUGCUGGAUCACAUGGUAGUUCUUUUUUUUUUUUUUUGAGACGGAGUUUUGCUUUUGUUGUCUAGGUUGGAGUGCAAUGCCCUGGUCUCGGCUCAUUGCAGCCUCUGCCUCCCAGGUUCAAGUGAUUUUCCUGCCUCAGCCUCACAAGUAGCUGGGAUUACAGGCACCCUCCAUCACACCCAGCUAAAUUUUGUAUUUUUAGUAGAGAAGGGGUUUUGCCAUGUUGGCUAGGCUAUUGUGAACUUCUGACCUCUGGUGAUCGACCAGCCUUGGCCUCCCAAAGUGCUGGGAUUACAGGUGUGAGUCACCAUGCCCAGCCCACAUGGUAGUUCUGUUUUUGUUUUUUUCAGACAUCUCCAUAUUGUUUUCAGUAGUGGCUGUACUAACUUACGUUCCCACCAACAGUGUGUAGGAGUUCCCUUCUCUUUUUUUUUCUUUUUUUUUUUGGAGAAGGAGUUUCACUCUUGUUGCCCAGGCUGGAGUGCAAUGGCACAAUCUUGGCUCACCACAACUUCUGCCACCAGGGUUCAAGCGAUUCUCCUGCCUCAGCCUCCCAAGUAGCUGGGAUUACAGGCGCGUGCCACCACUCCUGACUAAUUUUGCAUUUUUAGUAGAGAUGAGGUUUCUCCAUGUUGGUCAGGCUGAUCUUGAACUCCCGACCUCAGGUGAUCCACCCACCUCAGCCUCCCAAAAUGCUGGGAUUACAGGCGUGAGCCACUGCGCCCAGUCAAGAGUUGCCUUCUCUUAGCAUCCUUGCCAAUACCUGUCAUGUUUUGUCUUCUUAAUAACAGCCAUUCUAACUAAGGUACGAUAAUAUCUCAUUGUGUGCUUUUUUGUUUUUGAGUCAGUCUCGCUCUGCAGCCUAGGCUGGAGUGCAGUGGCGCAACCUCAGCUCACUGCAACCUCCCCCUCCUGGGUUCAACCGAUUCUCCUGCCUCAGCCUCCUGAGUAGCUGGGAUUACAUACGUGCACCACCAUGCCCAGCUAAUUUUUUUGUUUGUUUGAGAUGGAGUCUCGCUCUGUUGCCCAGGCUGGAGUGCAGUGGCGCGAUCUUGGCUCACUGCAAGCUCCGCUUCCCGGGCUAACGCCAUUCUCCCGCCUCAGCCUCUGGAGUAGCUGGCACUACAGGUGCCCGCCACCACGCCGGCUAAUUUUUUGUAUUUUUAGAAGAGAUGGGGUUUCAUUGUGUUAGCCAGGAUGAUCUCGAUCUCCUGACCUCAUGAUCCACCCACCUCGGCCUCCCAAAGUGCUGGGAUUACAGGCGUGAGCCACCGCGCCCAGCCACCCAGCUAAUUUUUGUAUUUUUAGUAGAGAUGGAGUUUCACCAUGUUGGGAAGGCUGAUCUCAAACUCCUGACCUCAGGUGAUCCGCCCACCUCGGCCUCCUAAGCUGCUGGGAUUAUAGGCGUGAGCCACCAGGCCGGCUUCAUUGUAGUUCUGAUUUGCAUUUCCCUGAUGAUUAGUGGUGUUGAGCAUUUUUUCAUGUACCUGUUGACCAUCUGCAUGUUUUAUUUUGAUUCUCCUUCUAUUAUGAUUAUUAUUAUUAAUUAUCAUUAUUAUUGAGACAGGUUCUCACUCUGUCACACAGGCUGGAGUGCAGUGGUAUGAUCACAGCUCACUGCAGCCUCAACCUCCCUGGGUUCAGGUGAUCCUCCCACCUCAGCCUUCAAGUCGUUGGAACUAGAAGUGUGCAACACCAUGCCUGGCUAAUUUUCGUUUUUGUAGAGAUGGGGUCUCUCCAUGAUACCCAGGCUGGUCUGGAACUCCUGGGCUCAAGUGAUCCUCCCACCUCAGCCUCCCAAAGUGCUAGGAUUACAGGUGUGGACCACCAUGCCCAGCCUAUUAUUGUCAUUUUGAAACAGAGUCUCACUCUGUCACCCAGGUUGGGGUGCAGUGGCAAGAUCAAAGCUCACUGCAGCCUGGAACUCUUGGGCUCAAGUGAUCUAUGCUCCCACUUCCACCUCCUGAGUAGCUAAGACUACAGGUGAGUGGCUAUUUGGAUUCUCCUUUUAAACAGAGUAGCAACUUGAACCAAAAAUACUUUUGUUUCUUCAGAUCCUAUGUUGUAAAUCACUUCUCUUUGAACUAAGUAUGCAGAAGACUUAAGAAGAUGAAGCUGAACAAUAAAAAUAUUAACUAAACAGAUUGAAAGAAACUUUUUUUUUUUUUUUUUUAGAUGGAGUCUCGCUCUGUCGCCAGGCUGGAGUGCAGUAGUGGGAUCUUGGCUCACUGCAACCUCCAACUCCCUGGUUCAAGCGAUUCUCUUGCCUCAGCCUCCUGAGUAGCUGGGAUUACAGGCACGCAUCACCACACCCAGUUUUUGUAUUUUUAGCAGAGACAGGGUUUCACCAUGUUGGCCAGGAUGCUCUUGAUCUCCUGACCUCGUGAUCCGCCUGCCUUGGCCUCCCAAAGUGCUGGAAUUACAGACAUGAGCCACUGCACACUGUACCCGGCCUGUGGUUUUUUUUUUUUUUUAAGACAGAGUCUCACUCUGUGGCCAAGGCUGGAGUGCAGUGGUACAAUCUCGGCUCACUGCAACCUCUGCCUCCCGAGUUCAAGCAAUUCUCGUGCCUCAGCCUCCCAAGUAGCUGAAAACAGCACAACCUGCUAAUUUUUGUAUUUUUAGUAGAGAUGGGGUUUUGCCAUGUUGGCCAGGCUGGUCUCAAACUCCUGGCUUCAAGUGAUCCACCGUCCUCGGCCUCCCAAAGUGCUGGGAUUACAGGUAUGAGCCAUAGCGCCAGGCCUGAAACAAACUUUCAAGUAAGACUAAAACUGUUCCGUGUAGCUGAUGAGUUGUUUUUCCUGCCACUCAUUAUAAAAAUACAAAAAUUGGCCGGGCACAGUGGCUAACACCUGUAAUCCUACCACUUUGGGAGGCUCAGAUAGACAGAUCACUUGAGCCCAUGAGUUCAAGACCAGCCUGGGCAAAACCCCAUCUGUACAAAAAAUACAAAAAUUAGCUGGGCAUAGUGGCAUAUGCCUGUAGUCCCAGUUACUCAAGAGGCUGAGAUGAGAACGAGAAACACCUGAGCCCAGGAGGUCGAGGCUGCAGUGAGCCGUGACUGUGCCACUGCAUUCCAGCCUAGGCUAUAGUGAGACCCUGUCUCAAGAAAUAACAAGAACAACAAAAUGCUCUUGCUUUCAAAUUAUUUUAUUGCCCAUCAAAUUGUAAAUGUUUCUUCAAGACUCUUGAUCAGAUAAUUAUGAGAAGUCACACAACAUACAGGAGAUGACUGGGCUUCAAUCGACUUUACUUGUCAAUAACAGAGUACAACUGAACUUUAAGUGGGAGCUGAAUUUCUUUCUUUCUUUUUUGAAACAGAGUUCCACUCUUGUUGCCCAGGCUGGAGUGCAAUGGCACGAUCUUGGCUCACUGCAACCUCCGCCUCCUGGGGUCAAACGAUUCUCCUGCCUCAGCCUCCCGAGUAGCUGUGAUUACAGGCAUGUGCCACCAUGCCUGGCUAAUUUUGUAUUUCUUUUUUUUUAGUAGAGACAGGGUUUCUCCAUGUUCGUCAGGCUGGUCUCAAACUCCUGACCUCAGGUGAUCUGCCCACCUUGGCCUACCAAAGUGCUGGGAUUACAGGUGUGAGCCACUGCGCCUGGCUCUUUUUUUUUUUUAAUAGUGUCUUGCUGUUACUCAGACUGAAGUGGCGCCAUCAUAGCUCACUAUAGCCUCAAACUCCUGGGCUCAAGCUAUCCUCCUUCUUCACCCUCCCCCACCAUGCUCGGCUAAUUUUUAAAAUUUUUAGUAGAAAUGAGGUCUUGCUGUUUUCCAGGCUCGUCUCAAACUCCCAAUCUCAUGCAAUCCUCCUGCCUCAGCCUCCCAAAGUGCUGGGAUUACAGGUGUGAGCCACUGUACCCAGCUGAGAGCUUAAGUUUCUUGCAUAAAACUCAGCUGUAUGCUGAAGUGUUUAGAAGUGAAAUGUAAUGAUGUCUGCAACUUACUUUGAAAUACAUUAAUAAAAUGGAUAAAUGAAUGGAUAGAGGGAUGGAUAGGCAGAUUGACAUGUGUAAAACAAAUAGAGAAAAAUGUUAUUUGUAGAAUCUAGGUGAUGCUAAAGGCCACACAGCCAGUGGGGACUGAGCCAAGCUAGGAAUCCAGGUCCACCAAUUCAGGAGAGGCUAUGUGGUGAAGUAAAGAUAACACCCCGUUCCCAGUUUUUGUAUCUGUUUUUGUUUUGAGACAGAGUCCUGCUUUGUAGCCCAGGCUGGAGUGCAAUGGAGCCAUCUCAGCUUACUGCAACCUCUGUCUCCCAGGCUCAAGUGAUCCUCUUGCCUUAGCCUCCUGAGUAGCUGGGACUACAGGCAUGUGCCACCACGCCUGGCUAAUUUUUUGGUAGAGAUGGGGUUUCACUAUAUUGCCCAGCUGGUCUCAAACUCCUGACCUCAAGUGAUUAACCAGCCUCAGCCUCCCACAGUGCUGGGAUCACAGGUGUGAGCCACCGUGCCCGGCACCAGUUCCCAUUAAUUAUCUUGGAACCCAAGGAUUCAAAGAAGCAGUCUUUUCAAAGAGAUAUUUGAGUCACUGACCACCAGUCCUGGAAUGCAGAAAUGCUUAGUCCCACCUACCUCUUUUGUUCAUUCCUUCAAAAGUUUCCUCUUCAAAAGUAGGGCUAGCAGAUCUAAAUGGGCCAGAAAGAACUCUCUUAACUGUUGUUUUUUGUUUUGUUUUGUUUUUUGAGACUGGAGUCUCACUUUGUCGCCCAGGCUGGAGUGCAGUGGCGCGAUCUCAGCUCACUGCAAGCUCCGCCUCCCGGGUUCAUGCCAUUCUCCUGCCUCAGCCUCCCCAGUAGCUGGGACUACAGACGCCCGCCACCAUGCCCGGAUAAUUUUUUGUAUUUUUAGUAGAGAUGGGGUUUCACUGUGUGAGCCAGGAUGGUCUUGAUCUCCUGACCUCGUGAUCCACCCACCUCAGCCUCCCAAAGUGCUGGGAUUACAGGCGUGAGCCACCACACCAGGCCUUUUUUUUUUUUUUUUUUUGAGAUAGAGUCUUGCUCUGUUGCCCAGGCUGGAGUGCAGUGGCGCUAUGUUGGCUCACUGCAACCUCCACCUCCUGGGUUCAAGCCAUUCUUCUGCCUCAGCCUCCCAAGAAGCUGGGAUUACAGGUGCACGCCACCAGGCCUGGCUAAUUUUUUUUUUUUUUUUUUGAGACGGAGUCUCGCUCUGUCACCCAGGCUGGAGUGCAGUGGCGCAGUCUCGGCUCACUGCAAGCUCCGCCUCCCGGGUUCACGCCAUUCUCCUGCCUCAGCCUCCCAAGUAGCUGGGACUACAGGCACCUGCCACCACUCCUGGCUAAUUUUUUUGUAUUUUUAGUACAGACGGGGUUUCACCAUGUUAGCCAGGAUGGUCUCGAUCUUCUGACCUCGUGAUCUGCCCGCCUCGGCUUCCCAAAGUGCUGGGAUUACAGGUGUGAGCCAACGUGCCUGGCCGUUUUUUUUUUUUUUUUUGGUAUUUUUAGUAGAGAUGGGGUUUCACCAUAUUGGCCAGGCUGGUCUUGAACUCUUGACCUUAAGUGAUCCACCCUCCUCAGCCUCCCAAACUGCUAGGAUUACAGGCGUGAGCCACCGCGCCUGGCCUUCAUAACUGUUGACAUACAAGCAUUACAGUAAAAAUUAGACUGGAAAGACUAUGCCUUGAUUUCAACUUUAAUCACAAUUAAUUUAUUCUUUCUUUAAAAAAAAAAUGUAAUCCCAGAACUUUGGGAGGCCAAGUCGGGUGGAUCACCUGAGGUCAGGAAUUGGAGACCAGCCUGGCCAACAUGGUGAAACCUGUCUCUAGUAAAAAUGCAAUUAGCCAGGCAUGGUCGUGGGUGCCUGUAAUCCCAGCUACUCAAGAGGCUGGGGCAGGAGAAUCGCUUGAACCUAGGAGGCGGAGGUUGCAGUGAGCCAAGAUCAUGCCAUUGCACUCUAGCCUGGGCAACAAGAGCGAAACUCCAUCUCAAAAAAAAAAAGAGGCUGGGUGCAGUGGCUCACGCCUGUAAUCCCAGCACUUUGGGAGGCCGAGGCGGGAGGAUCACGAAGUCAGGAGAUCGAGACCAUCCUGGCUAACACGGUGAAACCCCCGUCUCUACUAAAAAUACAAAAUAUUAGUUGGGCGUGGUGGCGGGUGCUUGUAAUUCCAGCUACUCGGGAGACUGAAGCAGGAGAAUGGUGUGAACCCAGGAGGUGGAGCUUGCAGUGAGCGUAGCUUGGGCCACUGCACUCCAGCCCAGGCAAUAGAGACAGACUCUGUCUCAAAAAAAAAAAAAAAAAAAAGAAUCCUCCGGCAUUAUAUCUCCAGCUACUGUGGCCCAAGAAUAUAUCUUUAUCAAAAAAUACAAAAUCCAGGGAACAUGCAAAUAUCUGAAGAAGAAAAAAACACUGCAAUCACUAAUGCAUACAGUGAAGAGUUGGCCCAGUUCCAGAGUCCGCUAUGUUUGAUAGUUUGUGCACUUGCAGAAUGAGAGUGGGGGGGGAGUUCCCCACCUGAGGCCACUGUCCUCUCUAUGGCCACCUCUAGGUCUUCAAGACCAAGGAACACCUACACUCCAGGUGUCUCCUUGCCAGAUGUUUCACCUGCAUUGGUAAAAGGCAGAAUCCUCGGCAGGGGUCGGUGGCUCACGCUUGUAAUCCCAGCACUUUGAGACGCCGAGGCGGGUGGAUCACGAGGUCAGGAAUUCAAGACCAGCCUGGCCAAGAUGGUGGAACCCCGUCUCUACUAACAGCACAAAAAUUAGCUGGGCCUGGUGGCGCAUGCCUGUAAUCCCAGCUAAUGGGAAGGCUGAGGCAGAGAAUGGCUUGAACCCAGGAGGCAGAGGUUGCAGUGAGCCGAGAUCACGCCACUGCACUCCAGCCUGGGCGACAGAGCAUGACUCCAUCUCAAAAAAAAGAAAAGAAUCCUGGGAUGAGCUCCGCCCCCCCCACCAGCCGAGGGACAGGCCUGAGGUAUCCCCUCUAUUCUGGGGGGUCCAGAGUGGGUGCAGGCUCCUUUAAUAGGCACUGGAAUGUAGGGGACCCCAUCUCAGAGGAGUAGGAGAGAUACAGGCCAAAAAGCAGAGAGCUACAAGGGAGAGAACAAUCAUGAAGGAAAAGCCAGUUAGGUGAAUGGUUUUCAGUGAAGGAUGGGACGUGAACACGGGGCCCUGUGUGCUGGAGCUUCAGAAAAUGGGGUCAACCCCCAGGCACCUUUUCAGAUUCCUGCCUCCUCCCCACAGCCCUCUGUGCCCCUACCUCUGCUUUUUACCUAAGGCAGAACUUUGUUUUCCUCAAACGCCCACUUCCUUUCCUUAUCCCCCAAAUACACAAACCUUGCCUCUUCCUCUCCAGGGAAACGCUGACCAGUUUGUGUGAACGCCAUCACCCACACUCUUGAAAUAUAUCUGGAAAGUGCCGGAAGUGAACUGGGGGAUCCUUGCCUCCCAAAACAGGGAUGGGCUCUGAACGCCCCACCACGGCCUGCUGCCACGCGCGCCUCUCGCUGCAGGAGCGGUGGAUCCACCGAUGGGCUUCCAGGGCGGUCUUGCGCUUGAAGCCUUUCCCACACUCCACGCAGGGGAAGGGCCGGCUGUCGGAGUGAAUGCGCCGGUGACUGAGGAGGAGGGAAGAAUAGGUGAAGCGGCGGCCGCAGUCAGGACAGGGGUAGGGCUUCUCGCCGGUGUGUAUGCGCCUGUGGAUGGCCAGCAGGGAGGUGUAGGCGAAACGGAGGCUGCAAUCGGGGCAGCUGUAGGGCUUCUCGCCCGUGUGCUUGCGCUGGUGGAUGGCCAGCAGGUAGGGGUAAGUGAAGCGACUCUUGCAGUCUGAGCACGCGUAAGGCUUCUCCCCGGUGUGAGCCCGCCUGUGGAUAGCCAGGGAACCCCUCUGGCGGAAGCGGCGCCCGCAGUCGGGGCAGGGGUAGGGCUUCUCGCCGGUGUGGAUGAACUGAUGCUGGAGCAGGUACCUGCGCUGGGAGAAACGCGCCUGACACUGGCCGCAGGAGAAGGGCCGCUCCCCGGAGUGGACCCGCUGGUGGCUGGCCAGGAGGGAAGGGUAGCUGAAGUUGCGGCCACAGUCUGGGCAAGAGUGGGGCAGUCUUCGGGUCAGAGUGUCCUUGAGCCAGGGAUUCAUGGGGCUCUGCCUAGGGUUGCAGAACUCUGGGCAGGCGACGCUGGGCCACCACUCCUUGACAGCCACUUCAUGCGCCACCUCUUUUUGUUUUGGACACUUCUUCAGCCUUUCCUUCUCCUCAUUCCCAUCCCUGGAUCCUGAAACAGGGAAGAUGAUAAAAUCAGAAACUCAUCCCUGGAUCCUGAGACAGGAAAGAUGAUAAAGUCAAAACCAGCAUAUUCCGGGACCAUGUCCUGCCUUGGAAGGCAGCAGGAAUGGUUCAGAAUAUGGCGCCCAGGGAGCACGGCUUAAUGAUAGGGGCCUCAUGAAGCCCUGAAAGCCAGCCUGGAGUAAAAGCAAAUGCCAUGGUCUGCAGGUUAACACAAGAAGGCCCUGAGCACUGGAGAUAAUGAAAGAGGAGUCGGGCCGGGUGCCAUGGCUCACACCUGUUAUCCAAGCACUUCAGGAGGCUGAGGUGGGAGGAUCGCUUGAGGCCAGAAAUUCAAGGGACAGUGAGCUGUGAUCGGGCCACUGCACUCCAGCCUGGGCAACUCUCUAAUAAAAAAAAAAAAAAAUGCUGGGCGUGGUGGCCCAUGCCUGUAAUCCCAGCACCACUCUGGGAGGCUGGGGUGGGCAGAUCACCUGAGGUCAGGAGUUCGAGACCUGCCUGGCCAACAUGGGGAAACCUUGUCUGUACUAAAUUACAAAAAUUAGCCAGGCGAGGUGGUGGGCGCCUGUAAUCCCAGCUACUUGGGAGGCUGAGGCAGGAGAAUCCCUGGAACUGGGGAGGUGGAGGUUGCAGUGAGCCAACCUCGUGCCACUGCACUCCAGCAUGGGCGACACAGCAAGACUCAGUCUCAAAAAAAUAAAAAAAGAAAAAGGAGUGAACAAUAUUGAACGCUUAACUCUGUGUCAGGCUUUGAGGACACAGUGAUGGUCCCAGUCCUCAUGGCACUUACCAUCCUGAACCUGUUUAUGAUCCCUUUACAAAACAGCCAUUCAAUGACCUUCUUUGGUACCAGCUCAAAUUCUUUUGGCACCUUUCCUCUCUGCUCUUACCAUCACCAAAAAGUCUACACUUGCUGGUGGGGCACAGUGACUUACGCCUGUAAUCCCAGCACUUUGGGAGGCAGAGGCAGGUGGAUCACGAGAUCAGGAGUUCAAGACCAGCCUGGCCAAGAUGGUGAAAGCCCGUCUCUACUAAAAAUACAAAAAUUAGCUGGGCAUGAUGGCGGGUACCUGUAAUCCCAGCUACUCAGGAGGCUGAGGCAGGAGAAUUGCUUGAGCCUGGGAGGCGGAGGUUGCAGUGAGCCUAGACCAUGCCACUGUACUCCAGCCUGGGCAACAGAGCGAGACUGUCUCAAAAAAUAAGUCUACACUUGGACUGCCUCACUAGGUUCCACGGGAAGACCUUCUGGGAACAAGCAUUUAUUCUGGUAUCAGGGCUGCAGGAAAAACAUUUCUCUUCAUUUAAAAAUCUAAUUAAUGGUGUUAUUUACUACACGUGGUUCACAUCAUUAAUAUCCAAGAGGAACAUCUGUCUUCAUUUUAUCCCACAACAAAAAUCAAAUUACAGGUUUCCCCUUUCCCUUGACCUCCUAGGAAGCUCAAGCUCUAUUUUGCAUUAAACUGAGGUUUUCCAGUAUGGUUAAUCGGUUCCAUAGAUCCCAAUUUCGCUGUUCCAUCGGGCCAUUUUGCAGUGAGAUGAGGACGUUUCUGGGGUAGGGUGCAGGGAGACAGGAUGGGACUUUGGAGGGGGCAGCCUGCGCUGAGGAUGUGAGUGAGUUGGGGGCGGGGGUUGGGGCUUCUCCACGGCUACUUAUCCAAAUGAAGUACCUGCUUCCUGUCCUUGGCCCCUGCUGAAAGCUGCAGAGCUCUCACCGUCGGGAUCCUGGGCCUCCGGGCUCCACGCCUCCACUUCUCCUUCCACCCACGAGAUAAAAGCGGGUUUGGGAACUGAAAAUCCUGCGAAGGAGAAACAAUGGGCUCGGCUGAGCGCACGGGAGGGGAGAAUGAGACUGCUCCCUCGGCGCCCCGCUUCCAGCCCACUAGCCUCUGGGGACACCGAUCACCGCUUCCCACCGACGGACUGGGGGUCCCGGCCGGAGGGCCCGGCCUCACCCAGCGCGCCCAGGUGGCCGAAGGUCUCCCGCAUCACGUCCCGGUACAGGGCCCUCUGCGCUGGCCGCAGGCAUUCCCACUCCUCGGGAGAGAAGUACACGGCCACGUCCGCGAAGCUCACGGCGCCCGGCCUGCUUUCCCUCGUCCUCCGGGGCCCGGCCUCCCCGGGUACGUGGGCCGGGCGCGGCGCCAGGGGCGGCCCCAUGGGAAACCCUUUCUGCCUGGCAAAGGGAGGCUUCCGGGGAAGGUGGAGAUGCUGGCGCUUUCCUGUCUUUCCUCAGACAAGUCCGUAAGGGACUCCUGCCCUUAACCAAGAUGGAACCUUCCUGGCGUCAACACCCCUCGCCUUUCCUCUCUGCCUUUACACACCACGAGGGAAACCAGCGGGAAGGGUGGCCCCGCAACACCACUAACCGAUAGAUGGCGUACGUUGAUUGGACAGUGCCGGAAGGCCAGGAGAAGAAGGAAGGCUGUGAUUGGGCUUUUUUUUGGAGUGGCCUGUUUGAAAGGCUGAGGGUGAAGGAGCGACAGAUCUGAAAAUAGCCGGAGCUGAGGGGCCUCAGGGUCUACCCUGACUCGCUUUUCCCGGACGGUCUCCUAGGAGAGAGGCUGUGGCCAGCUGACGCGACUUCCUUCUGCUACUGAGGUGAGAAGUCUUAGGGCAGAUGCGGAUGUCCAGGGCUUCGAGGUGAGUAAAGGUGAAGCGCAAAGCCUUAGGCGGCGUGCACUGAGUGGGUAAGGGACUGCAGAUCCCAGCUUUGAGCUCUGAGUACUCCUGGCAGUGCCAGCCCGAGGGGCAGCGGGAACAGGAUCCUACCCAGGAUCUAAUUUGACCUUUGCCCCGAGGUCACAGAUGUCUUCCCUUAUAGAGAUGCAGAAGGCCAGGCGCAGAGCCCGGAUUCAAAGUCAGCUCCUAGCCGGGCGCGAUGGAGCGCGCCGGUGGUCCCAGCUCCUCGAGGGGCUGAGGCAGGAAGAUCGCCUGAACUCGGGAGGUGGAGGCUGCUGUGAGUCGAGAUCGCGCCCCCACACUCCAGGCUGGCGACAGAGCCAGGCGCCCAUCUCUAAAAACAAACAAAAGUCAUCUUCUCGCUUCCGGGUUCGGUUAAGGACUUAGGGUAGGGCCCUGCACAAAGUACUAUUAUAAUAGAUAUGAAUUUAUAGUGUUGUAGUUUUUUUUUUUUUUUUUUUUUUUUGAGAUGGAGUCUUGCUCUGUCGCCCAGGCUGGAGUGCAGUGGCGCGAUCUCGGCUCACUGCAAGCUCCGCCUCCCGGGUUCACGCCAUUCUCCUGCCUCAGCCUCCCGAGUAGCUGGGACUACAGGCGCCCGCCACCAUGCCCGCCUAAUUUUUUGUAUUUUUAGUAGAGACAGGGCUUCACCGUGUUAGCCAGGAUGGUCUCGAUCUCCUGACCUCGUGAUCCGCCCGCCUCGGCCUCCCAAAGUGCUGGGAUUACAGGCGUGAGCCACCGUGCCCGGAUGUGUUGUAGUAAUGUUUAAUACCAUCUGAGUCUUGUCUCAAUCAGAAAACGUGCUCAAAUUACAGCUGAUAUGUGAGUAAUAAAACUGGGAAACGAAUCAGAUAAUCUCUUAAGACCGUUUUUCAGCCCUUUCCAACCGAGUAUUCAUAGAAACAGAAGAGGAACGUUCUAGAUGUAUAACAAAAAGCUGCCCAUCCCCACAGUGAAACCACUUUGAAGACAUCACUUUAAAAUUCAUGUGAAUUCGGCCGGGUGUGGAGGCUCACACCUGUAAUCCCAGCACUUUGGGAGGCUGAGGUGUGUGGAUCACUUAAAGUCAGGAGUUUGAGACCAGGCAACAUGGUGAAACCCCAUCUCUACUAAAACAGAAAAAUUAGCCAGGUGUGGUAGUGCACCCCUGUAAUUCCAGCUACUUGGGGGGCUGAGGCAUGAGAAUCACUUGAACCCGAGAGACGGAGCUUGCAGUGAGCCGCAGUCGCGCCACUGCACUCCAUACUGGGUGACAGAGUGAGACUCCGUCUCAGAAAAGAAAAAAAAAAAUGUGAAUUCAGUUGGGUGUAGUGGCUCAGGCCUCAGGCCUGUAAUCCCAGCACUUUGGGAGGUCAAGGUGGGAGGAUCACGAGGCCAGGAGUUCGAGACCAGACUAAACAACAUAGCAAGACCUCAUCUCUAAAAAAAUAAAUAAAUAAAAAACAAAAACUUGUGUGAAUUUGCAUUCUAUUUUAUAAUAUAACCAAAUGAUCUCGGCCUUCACACCAUCUUCUUGGAAACCUCUGCACCAUGAGAGCCUAGUGGAGGAAGCGAAUGCGCAGGCUGAAGCGCAAAAGAAGAAAGAUGAGGCAGAGGUCCAAGUAAACCACAAGCUUAUGCACCCAUGGAGGCUACAGGAGCAGAAACAUGGAAUCCAGAGGCUGGGGAUGCUGGUACAGUUAUUGGGCUGCAUGCUACUGUCUAGAGCUUGUUUCAGUGCAUCUAGAACUUCAUCUCCAUCUGGUCGCCAAGACCACCUCUGAGACUCACCUUGCUCAUAACCAAAACUGCAUGUUGGUCCUUUGCUCCGGACCUGUGAUAUUCUGGACUAUUUCUGUGUUCACUGGUGGCCGAGUGUAACAACCAUAUAAUAAAUCACCUCUUCUGCUGUCUUAGCUGAAUAUAUAUAACCAAAUUCAAAAGAAUAUAUAGUCAAAAGCAAGUUUAUCAAGUGUUAUCCUCUUUUACACUACUGGUGGAGUGUGAAUUGGUGCAGCCGCUUUUGAAAACUGGCAGUACCUACUAAAGCUGAAUAGAUGUCAUACCCUAUGACCCAGUGAUUCCACUUGUAGGUGUAUACCCAACAGAUAUGCAUACAUAUGUUUACUCAAAGGCAUUUACUCAAAUGUUCUCCACACUUCUUAUAAUAGGUAAAAACUAGACCAGAUGCGGUGGCUCAUGCCUGUAAUCCCGGCACUUCGGGAGGCCGAGGUCAGCGGAUCACCUGAGGUCAGGAAUUUGAAACUAGCCUGGCCAACAUGGCAAAACCCCAUCUAAAAACACAAAAAUUAUCUGGGCGAGGUGGCAGGCGCCUGUAGGCCCGGCUACUCGGGAGGCUGAGACAGGAGAAUCACUUGAACCCAGGAGGUGGAGGUUGCAGUGAGCCAAGAUCACACCACUGCACUCUAGCCUGGGUGACAGAGCAAGACUCCAUCUCAAAAAAAAAAAAAAAAAAAAAAAGAUUCCGUUUCUAUAGUUUUUCUUUUUAAAAGACUCUGCAUGUAGGCUAGGCUGGUGGCUGAGGCCUGUAAUAUCAGUACUUUGGGAGGCUGAGGCUGGAUGAUCACUUGAGCUUAAGAAUUUGAGACCAGCCUGGGCAAUAUAGUGAGACACCAUCUCUACAAAAGCAAUUUUUUUUAAUAAGCCAGGCAUGGUGGUGUGCACUUGUGGUCCCAGCUACUCAGGAGGCUGAGAUGGGAGAACUGCUUGAGCCCAGAGGUCAAGGGUGCAAUAAGCCAUUAUCAUCAUGCCACUGCACUCCAGCCUGGGCAACAGAGCAAGACCCUAUCUCUAAAAUUAAAAAACAUAUGUAUAAAAACAGACAAAAUGUGGCCGGGCACGGUGGCUUAUGCCUGUAAUCCCAGAACUUUGGGAGGCCAAGGGGAGUGGAUCAUGAGGUCAGGGAUUCAGGACCAGCCUGGCCAAGAUGGUGAAACCCCAUCUCUAGUAAAAAUACAAAAAAUUAGCGGGGUAUGAUGGCGGGCGCCUGUAAUCCCAGCUACUCAGGCAGCUGAGGCAGAGAAUUGCUUGAACCCAGGAGGUAGAGGUUGCAGUGAGCCAAGAUCGCGCCACUGCACUCCAGCCUGAGCUAGACUCCAUCUCAAAAACAAAACAAAACAAAACAACAACAACAAAAAAACAGCAAACUUAAUCCAUGCUAUCAAAAAUCAGAGCCAGGUACGAUAAUAGAUGCUUCUAGGAUGCUGAUAAUAUUCUCUUUUUUUCUUUUUUUUUUUUAGAUGGAAUCUCCCUGUGUCACCCAGACUGGAGUGCAGCAGUGCAAUCUCAGGUCACUGCAACCUCCACCUCCUGGGUUCAGGAGAUUCUCGUGCCUCAGCCUCUGGAGUACCUGGGAUUACAGGCAGGUGCCACCAUGCCUGGCUAAGUUUUUUGUAUUUUUGGUAGAGACGGGGUCUCACAUGUUGCCCAGGCUGGUCUCGAACUCCUGGCCUCCUCUGAUCCACUGGCCUUGGCCUCCCAAAAUUCUGGGAUUACAGGCAUGAGAAUUGCUUGAGCCUGGGAGGCAGAGGUUGCAGUGAGCCGAGAUUGUGCCACUGCACUCCAGCCUGGGUAACAGAGUGAGACUCUGUCUCAAAAAAAAAAAAAGUUCACACUCCAGUGAUUUGCAUAUCAUAGUAAAAAGUAAUCUCUUGGGUCUCAUUUUUCAUUGUGUUUAGCGCAGUACCAUAAACCUUAAAUAACACCAUAGGACCCAUACAAAGUGCCACUAGUGAUGCUGGAAGUGCUCCCAAGAAGCAAAGAAAAGUCAUGACAUUUCAAGAAAAAGUUGAAUUGCUUGGUAUGUACCAUAGAUUGAGGUCUGCAGCUGCAGUUGCCCACCAUUUCCAGAUAAAUUGAUCCAGUAUAAGAACCACUGUAGUGGCCUGUAGUCCCAGCUACUCGGGAGGCUGAGGCAGGAGAAUGGCGUGAACCCGGGAGGCGGAGCUUGCAGUGAGCCGAGAUGGCGCCACUGCACUCCAGCCUGGGCCACAGAGCGAGACUCUGUCUCAAAAAAAAAAAAAAAAAAAAAAAAAACCACUGUAGCUGGGCGCGGUGGCUCACGCCUGUAAUCCCAGCACUUUGGGAGGCCGAGGCUGGUGGAUCACCUGAGGUUUUCCAGUAUGGUUCAUCGGUUCCAUAGAUCCCCUGUAAUUCCAGUUACUGGAGAGGGUGAGGCAGGGGAAUCGCUUGAACUCAGGAGGCAGAGGCUGCGGUGAGCCGAGAUGGCGCCAUGGGACUGGGCAACAAAAGUGAAACUCCAUCUAAGAAAAAAAAAAAAAGGCACAAAGGACAUUUAGUAGUAAGGAAGAGAAGCAAGCACCAGGAUUUACAACAGGAAGGGAUAAGCUAACUCCACUGUUUUGUGCAGAUGCAGUCAGGUUUAUUAUCAGUACGUCCCUUAUCUAUAAAGGUGCUUAUCCUUGAGCCUUGAAGGGAAAAGAGAAAUACUAGCUUGCAGUCUUCUGGGUGUACAACAAAAAAGGCCUGAACAACAAUAAUCUUUUUCUGGAUGGGGUACAUCUGUGCUUUGUCCCUGAAGUCAGGAAGUACCUGGCCGGUAAAGGCCUGCCUUUCUCCAUUGGCCUUUACCAUCUUAUUUUAUUUUUAUUUAUUUUGUUUGUUUACUUAUUUAUUUAUUUUUGAGAUGGAGUCUCACUCUGUCACUAGGCUGGAGUGCAGUGGUGCAAUCUCAGCUCACUGCAACCUCCACCUCCCGGGUUCAAGCGAUUCUCCUGCCUCAGCCUCCCGAGUACCUGGGAUUAGAGACAUGCACCACCAGGCCCAGCUAAUUUUGUGCUUUUAGUAGAGACAGGGUUUCAGCAUGUUGGCCACGAUAGUCUCGAUCUCUUGACCUCGUGAUACACCCGCCUCAGCCUCCCAAAGUGCUGAGAUUACAGGCGUGAGCCACCGCACCAGGCCUUUACUUAUUUAUUUAUUUAUUUAUUUAUUUAUUUAUUUAUUUAUUUGAGAUGGAGUCUCACUCUGUUGCCCAGGCUGGAGUGCAGUGGCACAAUCUCAGCUCACUGCAACCUCUGCCUCUGGGGGUUCAAGCAAUUCUCCUGCCUCAGUCUCCCGAGUAGCUGGGACUCAAGCACACACCACCAUGCCCAGCUAAUUUUUGUGUUUUUAUUCGAGACGAGGUUUCACCAUAUUGGCCAGGCUGGUCUCGAACUCCUGAGCUCGUGAUACGCCCGCUUCGGCCUCCCAAAAUGCUGGGAUUACAGGUGUGAACCGCUGCACCCAGCCCACCAUCUCAUUUUAUUAAAGGGAAAUUAAAGCACAAGGAAAUACAGACCAUGACUGACAGGUUAGAGCCACUAGAUUUCUGUCUGCAGCCACAGAUCUUCCUUCCCAGGCAUCCACUGCCUGCAGCUAGAGAGUCUAGUCUGUGUUCCUCACAACACCAUUAUCAGAUGGGGUCCCUCAGAUGGUGAGAUGCACAAGCCACUGGCAUGUCACUUAGACUCUGCCCAAUUUGGACAAAUUUUAUCAAACUCUGGUUGUGUUUCAUUUGCUGGUUCAUUAUAAGGAUAUUACAAAGGAUAUAGAUGAAGAGAUGUAGUGGGUGAGAUAUGGGGGAAAGGGAGCAGAGAUUCCAUGCCCUCCCUAGGUAUGCAUGCUACCCCUCUAGGAACCUCCACAUGUUCACCUAUCUGGAAGCUUUUAUUUUUUUUUUUUGAGACGGAGUUUCGCUCUUGUUGCGAGGCUGGAGUGCAAUGGCAUAAUCUCGGCUCACUGUAACCUCCACCUCCUGGGUUCAAGCAAUUCUUCGGCCUCAGCCUCCCGUGUAGCUAGGAUUACAGGCGCACGCCACCAUGCCUAGCUAAUUUUUGUACUUUUAGUAUAGACAGGAUUUCACCAUGUUGGCCAGGCUGGUCUUGAACUCCUGACCUCAGGUGUGCCACCCUCCUUGGCCUCCCAAACUGCUAGGAUUACAGGCGUGAGCCACCGUGCCCGGCCGGGACUGCCUUUUAAAGUUAUUUUGAUAUUGGACAAUGCCCCUGGCCACCCAGAACCCCAUGAAUUCAACACCUUUGGUGGUGAAGUGGCCUACUUACCCCCAAACACAACACUUCCAAUUCAGCCUAUAGAUCAAGUUGUCAUAAAGAUCUUUAAGGCUCAUUACACAUGGUACUCUAUGGAAAGGAUGGUCAACCCUAUGGAAGAGAACCCCAUCAUGAAAGUCUGGAAGGAUUACACCACUGAAGACACCAUCGUUGUUAUAGAAAAAGCUGUGAAAGCCAUCAAACCUGAAACAGAUUCCUACAGGAGAAAACUGUAUCCAAUAGUGCGACUACUAGAGAAAACUAUGCCCAGAUACUAGGUGUUACUUCAUAGGAAAUUAUGACAAGAGCCAAUCAAGGAAAUCACGAAAGAGACUGUGAAUAUGGCAAAAAAAAAAAAAAAAAAAAAAAAAAAAAAAAUUUAGGGGGUGAAGGAUUUCAAGACAUGGAUUUUGGAGAAACUGAAGAGCUAAUAGACACCAUACCAGAGGAAUUAGAAUACAACUUGGUAGAGAUGAGUGCUUCUGAACCAGUGCCAGAUGAUAAGGAAGAUGGAAAGGGGCAGUGCCAGAAAACAAAUUGACAUUAGACAAUCUGGCAGGAGGGUUUCCGUCAUUUAAGACUGCUUUUGACUUCUUUUAUGACUUAGACCCUUCUAAGAUAUGGGCACUGAAACUAAAGCAAACAGUAGAAGAAGGAUUGGUACUGUAUAGAAAUAUGUCUAGAGAAAUGAAAAAGCAAAAAAAGUCAUUUUUUGAUGUACUUAUGAUGUAUUAUGAAAUUAUGAUGUAUUUCCAGAAAUUAUGAUGUAUUUCCAUAAAGUUGCACCAGUGUGCCUGCCUCUUCUGCUCCCCCUUCGCCCUUCUCCACCUCUUCUGCCUCUGCCACCCUUGAAACAGCAAGACCAACCCUUCCUCCUCUUCUUCCUCAGACUGCUCAACAUGAAGAUGAUGAUGAUGAAGAGUUUUAUGAUGAUCCACUUCCACUUAAUGAAUAGUAAAUAUAUUUUCUCUUCCUUAUGAUUUUCUUAAUAACAUUUUCUUUUCUCUAGCUUACUUUAUGAUAAGAAUACACUACAUAAGCCAGGCGUGGUGGCAUGCGCCUGUAGUCCCGGCUACUCAGGAGGCUGAGGCAGGAAGAUCACUUGAGCUGAGGAGUUUCGGGCUGCAGUUGAGCUAUGAUCACGUCACUGCACUCCAACCUUCGUGACAGAGCAAGACCCAUCUCUAAAUUAAAAAAAGAAAAAAGGUGGGGGGAGAGAGUACAGUAUAUGAUAUAUAUGACAUACAAAAUAUGUUUUUGUUUUUUUCUUUUUGAGACAGGGUCUGGCUCUGUCACCCAGGCUGGAGUGCAGUGGCUACCAUCCUGGCAACCUCUGCCUCCUGAGCUCAAGCCAUCCUCCUACAUUAGCCUCCCAAGUAGCUGGGAAUACAGGUACAUGCCACCAUGCUUGGCUAAUUUUUUAAUUUUUUGUAGAAGCGGGGUUUCACCUUGUUGUCCAGGCUGGUCUCGAACUCCUGAGCUCAAGCAGUCCUCUCGCCUCAGCCUCCCAAAGUGCUGGGAUUACAGGCGUAAGCCCAAAAAAGUAUAUAUGUAUUUAAAUAUUUACUAUCUGAUUUUUUUUUUUUAGGACAAGGUCUGGCUCUGUCACCCAGGCUGGAGUGCAGUGGUGAGAUCUCGGCUCACUGCAACCUCCACCUCCCAAGCUCAAGCAAUCCUCCUGGCUCAGCCUCAGCUGGGAUUACAGGCAUGCGCCAUGGCACCCAACCCCAAAACAUGUUUUAAUUGACUAUUUAUGUUAUUGGUAAGGCUUCCAGUCAACAGUAGUUAAGUUUUGGGGAGUCAAAAGUUAGUGGAGGCCGGGCUUGGUGGCACAUGCCUGUAAUCCCAGCUACUCGGCAGGCUGAGGCACAGGAAUUGCCUGAACGCAGGUGUAAGAGAUUGCAGUCAGCCGAGAUUGUGCCACUUCACUCCAGCCAGGGCCAAACAGCAAAACUCCAUCUCAAAAAAAAAAAAAAAAAAAGGCAGAAUAGAUGUUACUAGAGGCUAGAAAGGGAAGGGUAGGGGCAAGGGUGGGAUAGGGAAAAAUUUGUUAAUGGACAUAAAAUUAUUAGCUAUAUUGGAGGAAUAAGUUCUAGUGUUUUAUAGCACCGUAGGAUGACUAUAGUUAACAAUAAUAUACUAUAUAUUUUCAAAUAGCUAGAAGAGAAGAUAUUGAAUGUUCCUAACACAAAGAAAUAAUAAAUGUUUUAAAUGAUGGGUAUGUUAAUUGCCCCGAUUUGAUCACUACACAUCAUAUGUAUAGAAACAUCACCACAUACCCCAUAUUUAUGUAUAGUUAUUAUGUAUGAAUUAAGAAGAAUAAUGGACCCCAAAGAUUUCACAUCCUAAUCUGCAAAACCUUUGAUUGUGUUACCUUAUAUUAGCAAAUAGGACUUCGCAGAUGUGAUUAAACUAAGGAUUUUGAGUUAGGAACACUAACCUGUUGAGUCUAAUGUAAUCACAAUGGUCCUUAUAAAAGGGAGGCAAGAGGGUAAAAGUCUGAGAAGGAUAUGUGACAACAAAAGCAGAGGUGGAGUGAUGCAGUUGCUGGAGAGGGGCCACUAGCCAAGGAAUGCAGGCAGCCUCUAGAAGCUGGAAAAGGCAAGAAACAGAUUCUCCCUAGAGCCUCUAGAAAAGGAAUGCAGCCCUGCCAACACCUUGAUUGUCCCAUAAGACCUAUUUUCAGACUUUAGACCUGAAGAACUAUAAGACGAUAAAUUUGUGUUGUUUUCAGCCACCAGUUUCUAGUAAUUUCUUACAGUAACAAAUGAACACAGAUAACAUUGUUGAGGAGCAUUUCUGAGUUUGUCAACUACUCUAUUGAUGUGGGAGCACUCUCCCAGCUCUGAACUCAAGAAAGUCUAAAAAGAAGUAGGACUCAGAGACAUUAUGCUGAAUAAAAGAAGCUUUAGACAAAAAAAAAAAAAAAAAAAAAUACACACUGUAUGAUUCCAAUUAUAUGAAGUUUUAUAACAGGGAACACUAAUUAGAAUAGUAGUUGUCUCUGGUGGGGUGGGAAUGGGAAUUGACUAGGAAGGGGCAUAAGGCAACUUUCUUUCUUUUCUUUUCUUUUUUUUUUUUUGAGACAGAAUCUCACUCUGUCGCCAGGCUGGAGUACAGCGGCAGAAUCUCAGCUCACUGCAAUCUUUGACUCCCUGGUUCAAGCGCUUCUCCUGCCUGAGCCUCCCUAGUAGCUGGGAUUAUGGGCACAUGCCACCAUGCCCAGCUAAUUUUUGUAUUUUUAGUAGAGACGGGGUUUCACCAUAUUGGCCAGGAUGGUCUCGAACUCCUGACCUCGUGAUCUGCCUGCCUCAGCCUCCCAAACUACUGGGAUUACAGGCAUGAGCCACUGUACCCAGCCACAUGAGGCAACUUUCUAGGAUGAUGGUAAUGUUAUGUAUUUGGAUAGGGGUUUCAGUUACAGAUGUAUACGUCUUUGUCAACACUCAGCAAAUAUACACUUAAAGUUUGUGCAUUUUAUGUACUUUUAACUCAAAAAAUAUAUAAAACAAACGUGGAGCUCUAGUUAAUGAUAUGCAUGUUGAAAUGUUUACGGGUGAAGUGUACUGAUUUCAGCAAUUUUUUUUACAUGCACCCAAAAACAAAGUGUACUGGUAGAGUAACUGAUAGUUACAUGAUAAAGCAGAUACACUAAAUGUUAGUGAUAGAAUCUAGGUGGUGAGUAUAUGGGUAUUCUCUGUAAAAGUCCUUCAACUUUACUGUGUCUUUCAAAACUUUUAAAAUGAAUGGUGGCUGGGUGCAGUGGCUCACACCUGUACUCCUAGCACUUUGGGAGUCUGAGGCAGGUGGAUCGCCUAAGGUCAGGAGUUUGAGACCAGCCUGGCCAACAUUGUGAAACUCCAUCUCUACUAAAAAUACAAAAAUUAGCUGGGCAUGGUAGCUCAUGCCUGUAAUCCCAGCUACUCUGGGAGGCUGAGGCCCGAGAAUCGCUUGAACCUGGGAAGUGAAGGUUGUAGUGAGCCAAGAUCGCACCAUUGCACUCCAGCCUGGGCAAUGGAGUGAGACUUCAUCUCAAAAGAAAAAAAAAAGCAAAACCACUAUUGAGAAUGAAAAGACACUCCACAGAAUGGGAGAAAAUAUUUGUAAAUCAUGUGUCUAAUAAGGGAUUAAUAUUCAGAAUUUAUAAAUAACUCCGGUAACUCAACAACCACUAAAAAAUAAAAACCCAAUUUAAAAGCAGGCAAAGAGGCUGGGCACGGUGGCUCACACUGUCAUCCCAGCACUUUGGGAGGCCAAGACAGGCAGAUCACUUGAGGCCAGAAAUUCGAGACCAGCCUAGCCAACAGAGAUGAUGAAACUCCAUUUCUGCUAAAAAUACAAAAAUUAGCCGGCAUUGUGGCACAGACCUGUAAUCCCAGCUACUCAGGAGGCUAAGGCAUGAAAAUCACUUGAGCCUGGGAGGUGGAGGGUGCAGUGAGCCAAAAUGGCACCACAGCAUUCCAACCUGGGCAACAGAGCAAGACACCACUCAAAAAAAGAAUUAAAAAAAAAAAAGAUGAAAGCAGGCAUAGGAUUUAUAUAGACAUUUCUCCAAAGAAGAUAUACAGAUGAGCUGGGCGUGGUGACUCACGCCUGUAAUCCCAGCACUUUGGGAGGCUGAGGCAGGUGAAUCACCUGAGAUCAGGAGUUCAAGACCAGCCUGGCCAACAUGGUGAAACCCCAUCUCUACUAAAAAUACAAAAAAAAAAAAAAAUUAGCCGGGCGUGGUGGCGCACGCCUGUAAUCCUAGCUACUUGGGAGGCUGAGGCAGGAGAAUUGCUUGAACCUAGGAGACAGAGGUUGCAGUGAGCCGAGAUCUUGCCGUUGCACUCCAGCCUGGGCAACAGAGUAAGACUCUAUCUCAAAAAUAAUAAAUGAAUAAACACACAAACAAACAAAUAAUAAAUAAUUAUCACUUUUUUGCAUUUUCCCAAUUUCUUUACUGAUUAUUUUUGGGAUUUGGAAAAAACAUAAGGCCGGGCGAGGUGGCCCACACCUGUAAUCCCAGCACUCUAGGAAGCCAAGGCAGGAGGAUUGCUUGAGCCCAGGAGUUCGAGACCAGCCUGGGCAACAUGGAGAAACCUCAUCCCUACAAAGAAUACAAAAAAAUUAGUUGGGUGUGGUGGCACAUGCCUGUGGUCCCAACUACUCAGGAGGCUGAAGCAGGAGGAUCACUUGAGCUCAGGGAAGUAGAAGCUGCAGUGAGCCAUGAUCACACAACUGCACUCCAGCCUGGGCCACAGAGCAAGACUCUUUCUUGCUGGGAAGGAAUUCUCACAUGUACGCACUAGCAGAAGCCACAAGCGGCACCAGGAAGACUAGAAGAAUGCGGGGCAUGAAAGCUAAGUUACAAGAGAGCUUAAGUAGGAAAACUAAGGUAUGUAAGAUAAAAAUUGAAGCACUGAUUUGUUAACUAGGUCAUCAGUUAUCUUAAAGGACAGUCUUAGAAUAAUUGCAUGGCAGCUGACUUUACAGUCACCCAGAUAUGUGAUCCUGGACAAGUUAUUUAUUUUUUUUUAAAUUUUUUGAGAUGGAGUUUUGCUCUUGUUGCCCAGGCUGGAGUGCAAUGGCGCAAUCUCGGCUCAUUGCAACCUUUGCCUCCCGGGUUCAAGUGAUUCUCCUGCCUCAGCCUCCCAAGUAGUUGAGAUUACAGGCAUGUGCCACCAUGCCUGGCUAUGUUUUUGCAUUUAGUAGAGACGGGAUUUCACCAUGUUGGUCAGACCGGUCUCGAACUCCUGACCUCAGGUGAUCCACCCGCCUCGGCCUCCCAAAGUGCUGGGAUUAUAGGCGUGCACCCUGUGCCCGGUCGACAAGCUAUUUAAUGUCACUGUGCCUCUGUUUCCUCAUCUGGUCAAGGAAAACAAUACCUACAGUCAGAUCUGGAAUUUGAGGCUGCCCUACUUAUAGGUUAAUAAAUGGGUCUGUUAUUGUUUCAUGGAUGCUGUCAGAAAACAGAGACAAAAGACCUUACUGUUCAGGGCACAACAAGCAGCAUGAGCAUGCCUGCAUUGGUUCCCUUCUGCCCCCUGCAGGGGCAAUGUGGGAUGUGCCCAGAUGGAUGCUAGACACACAGUGAGUUGCAUCAUAGGGGAGGAACAGGAAGCUCCUGCUGUUUUUUUCCUUUUUAAAGAUGGGAUUUGGCUGGGAGCGGUGGCUCACGCCUGUAAUCCCAGCACUUUGGGAGGCCAAGGCAGGCAGAUCACCUGAGGUCAGGAGUUCGAGACCAGCCUGACCAACAUGGUGAAACCCUGUCUCUACAAAAAUACUAAAAUUAGCUGGGCAUGGUGGCAGGUGAGUGUAAUCCCAGCUACUUGGGAGGCUGAGGCAGGAAAGUUGCUUGAACCCAGGAGGUGGAGGUUGCAGUGAGCCAAGAUCACGCCACUGCACUCCAGCCUGGGUGACAAGAGUGAGACUCCUUCUCUAAAUAAAUACAUAAAUAAAUAAGAUGGGGUCUUGCUAUGUUGGCCAGGGUAGUCUCAAACUCCUGGCCUCAAGCAAUCCUCCUGCCUUGGCCACCAAAAGUUCUGGGAUUACAGUUGUGAGCCACCAUGCCCAGCCAUCUGCUGUUUUAUAGUAAGCAGUAAGGAAGCUGCUCUUUGUCCUGGAUGCAGACAUUACCUCUCCCUCAAGGUUUGCUUGCUGCCAACACUCCUGAGAAUUGUUCUGGGUAAUGAGUGGCAAGGGCUUUGCUUAUUUAUUUUUAUUUAUUGGUUAUACUUACAUUUAUGGUUUAUUAAAGCAAAACGACACAGAUUUAAAAUCAUCAAAGGGAUAAGGUACAUGGGACAAAAUCCGGAUGCAACCGGGCACAAACUUUCAGGUGUCUACUCCCAGUGGGGUAUCACAGGGACGUGCUUUUUUCUCCCUGCAAUGAUUUUUGACAACAGGUGCUGAUUGUUCCCAAACAGAGAAGUUCACCCAAGCUUUAGGGUGCAGGGUUUUUUUGUUUGUUUGUUUUGGUUUUUUGUUUGUUUGUUUGUUUGUUUAGAUAGUCUUACUUUUGUUGCCCAGGCUGGAGAGCAAUGGUGCGAUCUCAGCUUACUGCAACCUCCACCUCCCAGGUUCAAGCAAUUCUCCUGCCUCAGCCUCCCAAGUAGCUGGGAUUACAGGUGUGUGCCACCACCUGGCUAAUUUUGUAUUUUUAGUAGAGACGGGGUUUCACCACGUUGGCCAGGCUGGUCUCAAACUCCUGACCACAGGUGAUCCACCCACCUCGCGCUCCCAAAGUGCUGGGAUUACAGACGUGAGCCACCGCGCCCGGCCAUGUGUGGGGUUUUUAUUGGGGAUUAGUCACAUAGGCUUGGAGUGUCCAUACUACUGAUCUCUGCUACUCAGACCCCAGAGCAAAAAACAAUGUUCACUAUAAAUCACACUUAGGAUAAACUUAUUUGUUCAGACUGGUACAGCAUGAUGGCAUGCUGUAUGCCAAGACCUCUGGCAUACAAAAACACUAAUCAAAUAAAAUAUUCCACGGGCUCAGAAGUUAUUUCCCAGGAGCAGACCAAAUGCCAGUUCUAAAGAUGAGCUUUCUUUGGAAUGUGCAGGGUUUGAACAACCUACACCUCCUGAGUUAACCCAUUCCUACACACACCUGAUCCCAUGAGUCCAUUGUACCUGGUAAACUAAAUUUUGUAUCUCUUAGAAUUAAAAUUAGUUUAGGUCCAAUGUCAACAAAUCUCUGGAAACUCUAGUUACUUCCCCUUCUCUGAUGCUCACAGUAGCAGUAGUCUACAUUCACUGAACCCACUUGUUUAUUCUUUGGCCCACUGCAGUAUUAAUAGACACUUGACUGAGCUUUCAUGAUGUGCCAUGUACUGAGUUAAGCACUUUAUAUACAUUCCAAUCUAAUGUGCUUGCUAAAUGGCUGCAGGUACACUUGGAAAAGGCUAGAAGCUCUACAGCAUGUUUUUGUCAGUGUAGAACUGACAUCAAGUCCUUCAUCAAGGGAACCCAGCCUCCCCAGAUCUAGAGAAGGGGAGACUCUAGAUCUGUGAAUAGGCUCAAGUCUGAGAAUCUGUUGAAGGCAGGGACUUGCAAUUUUUGCCAACUCAACAAGAUGUGAAGGCAGGACUUGCCGAGAUGGAUCGGAAGUCAACAUGAGUGGGCACGCUGGUCAAUUUGGAGUCACAGCAGGGAGACUCAUGGAGGAGUGUCUGUUAACACCUACUUUAUAGAGUUCUUGUGAACAUUGGAUUGGAAUGUAUAUAAAGUGCCUAACACAGUACAUGGAACAUCAUAAAAGCUCAGUCAAGUGGCUAUUAAUAUUGCAGUAGGCCAAAGAAUAAACAGAAGUGGAUUCAGGCCAGGUGCAGUGGCUCACACCUGUAAUCCCAGCAGUUUGGGAAGCUGAGGCAGGCAGAUCACUUGAGGUCAGGAGUUUGAGAACAGCCUGGCCAACAUGGUGAAACCCCGUCUCUACUAAAAAUACAAAAAUUAGCUGGGUGUGAUAGCAUACACCUGCAGUCUCAGCUACUCAGGAGGCUGAGGCACAGAAUCACUUGAACCUGGGAGGAGGUGGAGGCUGCAGUGAGCAGAGAUCGUGCCACUGCACUCCAGCCUGGGUGACAGAGUGAGGCUCCAGCUCAAAAAAAGAAAGAAAAGAAAAAAGUGGAUUCAGUGAAUGUAGGCUACUGCUUCAAGGCAUUUAGCUGAAAAUAAUAGGGAUCAAGAGAAAAGUUCUUUUUUAUUGUUUUAAAGGCAGAUCUUAGCAUGCUUAUAGGCUGGAGUGUCUUUGGGACAAGAAAGGGAAUCUGAAACCAUAAAACUAGGAGACGAGAAAGUAGGAAUAAUAGAGCAAAGUCCCUGAGGGGCAGAAGGGGAUGAAACCCAGGCCCAGCUGUGUUGCUGAACAUUGUAUAUCCAGGACUUGCUGAGAUGGAUCAGAAGUAAAUAUGAGUGGGCACACUGGUCAAUUUGGAGUAAUGGCAGGGAGCAGAAUGUUAAAGAAGCUCCUAUUUGACCCCUUGUAUUUUCCUAGUGAAAGCGGAGGUAUUUACUGGUUAAAAAUAUAUGGAAUGGGCAGGGAGCAGUGGCUCACACCUGAAUUCCCAGCACUUUGGGAGGCUGAGGCAGGUGGAUCAUGAAGUCAGGAGAUCGAGACCAUCCUGGCUAACAUGGUGAAAUCCUGUCUCAACUAAAAAUACCAAAGAUCAGCCGGGUGUGGUGGCAGGCACCUGUAGUCCCAGCUACCAGGGAGGCUGAGGCAGGAGAAUCACUUGAACCCAGGAGGAGGAGGUUGCAGUGAGCUGAGAUCACGCCACUGCAUUCCAGCCUGGGCGACAAAGCAAGACUCCAUCUCAA